CAACUUUCUAGCCUUGACUUGCGUCAUAUCACAGAACUGAAUAAUGAAACAGUGAUGGAGGUCGUUAAGAAGUGUAAAAAUCUCUCAUCUCUUAACCUCUGCCUGAACUGGUGCAUCAAUGACAGUGAAAUUUUCUACCAGAAGGCUGCAGUCUUGGAAAGAAGAGGAAGAAAAAAAAAUAGCAGCAUACCAGACGAAUACAUUGUACUGGGCAAAUUUGACACUUAGUUGCAUGAAUAUCCUUUGCAUAAAGAUUUCAAGACACCAGAGGCACUUUUGAUAAUAAAAGGAAUAGAUUAAUGACUUUAUCAGGGAAACAGUUAUGUGUAAAUGAUUAAUUUUCAAGGGAAGGGCAAAAACAUUUACAAGACUUAUCACUAACAGUUAUACUAAGCCUAUUGGUGUAAAAACGCGUAGUACACACUAGCAGUCCUGUAAAAGAAGGCAUUUAUGUGAUAUAUGAAAAAGUUUACCAUAUAUAAUAAUGCCCAUGUAUGCUCUUAGCUUGUAUAAAUGUAUGAGUAACUUUAUUCCUUAAGAGACCGUGUAUUAAAUUUAUCAGAACUUAUUUGUGUAUGAUGGUCUUUAUGCUUAAGUGAAUUAUAAAGGCAGUAUCUGAUAAUUUUUUCAGAGAGUAACAAUGUAUCUGUUAUAUAUGCUUUGUAUUAAAGUUUGCAACAGGAAA